GCUGGGAUAGCUCAGUUGGAAGAGCAUGAGACUCUUAAUUCCAGAGUCGUGAGUUCAAGCCCCACAUUGAGCA